rnacentral:rRNA from 1 species
CCUACGGGUGGCAGCAGUGGGGAAUAUUGCGCAAUGGGCGAAAGCCUGACGCAGCGACGCCGCGUGAGGGAUGAAGGUCUUCGGAUCGUAAACCUCUGUCAGCAGGGAAGAACGGUCACUGUGCUAAUCAGCAGUGAAUUGACGGUACCUGCAAAGGAAGCACCGGCUAACUCCGUGCCAGCAGCCGCGGUAAUACGGAGGGUGCGAGCGUUAAUCGGAAUUACUGGGCGUAAAGCGCUCGUAGGCGGUAUGUCAAGUCACGGGUGAAAUCCCCGCGCUCAACGUGGGAACUGCCUUUGAAACUGGCAGACUGGAGUGUGUGAGAGGAUAGUGGAAUUCCAGGUGGAGGAGUGAAAUCCGUAGAUAUCGGGAGGAACAUCAGUGGCGAAGGCGACUAUCUGGCACAUAACUGACGCUGAGGAGCGAAAGCGUGGGUAGCAAACAGGAUUAGAUACCCGGGUAGUC